AGCCUCGUGGGCAAAUAGACAAGUCGCUCUGGUUUUCACCCAGAGAGAAGCGGGUGCAACUCCCGUCGAGGCUCCCA
rnacentral:tRNA from 1 species